rnacentral:rRNA from 1 species
GAUCCUGGCUCAGGAUGAACGCUAGCGACAGGCUAACACAUGCAAGUCGAGGGGCAGCACGGGAGUAGCAAUACUUGGUGGCGACCGGCGCACGGGUGAGUAACGCGUAUGCAACCUACCUAUCAGAGGGGAAUAACCCGGCGAAAGUCGGACUAAUACCGCAUAAAACAGGGGCACCGCAUGGUGAUAUUUGUUAAAGAAAUUCGCUGAUAGAUGGGCAUGCGUUCCAUUAGGUAGUUGGUGAGGUAACGGCUCACCAAGCCGACGAUGGAUAGGGGAACUGAGAGGUUGGUCCCCCACACUGGUACUGAGACACGGACCAGACUCCUACGGGAGGCAGCAGUGAGGAAUAUUGGUCAAUGGGCGGGAGCCUGAACCAGCCAAGUCGCGUGAAGGAAGAAGGAUCUAUGGUUCGUAAACUUCUUUUGCAGGGGAAUAAAGUGCAGGACGUGUCCUGUUUUGUAUGUACCCUGAGAAUAAGGAUCGGCUAACUCCGUGCCAGCCGCCGC